UCUCGUAGGUUUGUGUGGACCUAUUAAACCUAUUGACCACAUAAUAUCUUAUUUGCGCGGAUCCACCUCAUUCUGGACUUGGUGGCUUGUCCAUCACCACAUGUUUAAACCUUCCUCCGGAAGGUUGUAAGCCUAUAAAAGGUGCCAUGACAAAGCUUUACGUUUCCCUCCCAUCGUUCCACCCACGCCGAGGGCGCUCUCUCUCCACGUGAUUUUUGGAAUGGAAGGGUUAGGAAAGAAAGAAAAAGCAUUGACGCUAAUUUGACUGCCUUUUCACUGGCGCGCAUGGGUAUGUAAGCCCAGUUGUUCAUAGUAAAGUUAAUUGGGCAGCAACAUGAGGUUUUCGGCAUCAUUCAUCCGCUAAUAGCAUGACUUUGAAGCCUUUUCACUGGCGUUCGUGUGGGUAUGUAAGCCCAGUUGUUCAUAGUAAAGUUGAUUGGGGACUUAGAAUUGAGGCGCACAAUCUUGGCGUUAAGGCACUCCCGCAUUGGUAUCUUCGAGUCCUCUCAAUGUAGGAUCCAUGCUUCUUGUAAUCGCACUUUCUAAUAACCUUCUACUUGUAUUUUGAAUUAGUAGUAUGCUUUGAACAUGCCAUGCAUUAUCACUUUUAUUUAGCCAUUCAUAUAAUUUUUCAAAUUUUUUAAUCCU